AUCGAUGGCUAUAGAGAGCACGACGUAGCCGCCACAUCCAUGGAUAUGAUCCUAGAAAACGCGAUGAGAAGGAUUGGACGGUGCAGCAACGGUAAGCAAGGAAGGGAGUGGCCCAGAAGCGACGACAUUAUCUUCAGCGGGAUCUAGAUCGAAGGAACUGAGGGCGGCGAUGGCAUCUGAAUCUUCUUCUUGACCUUCGAAGAAACCAAGAGGCAAACCAACCCAACAACUUCCAAGAACGGUGGAAGGAAAUCGGCGAAGGCCAUCGCAUGAGGCCAGCGUGACAAAGGAAAGGAGUACCCCAAACCAAGCUGUUAGAGUAGUGAAUUAAUUUAGAGUAGUG
rnacentral:lncRNA from 1 species